UAGGGAAUCUUCCACAAUGGACGCAAGUCUGAUGGAGCAACGCCGCGUGAGUGAAGAAGGUUUUCGGAUCGUAAAGCUCUGUUGUUGGUGAAGAAGGAUAGAGGUAGUAACUGGCCUUUAUUUGACGGUAAUCAACCAGAAAGUCACGGCUAACUACGUGCCAGCAGCCGCGGUAAUACGUAGGUGGCAAGCGUUGUCCGGAUUUAUUGGGCGUAAAGCGAGCGCAGGCGGAAGAAUAAGUCUGAUGUGAAAGCCCUCGGCUUAACCGAGGAACUGCAUCGGAAACUGUUUUUCUUGAGUGCAGAAGAGGAGAGUGGAACUCCAUGUGUAGCGGUGGAAUGCGUAGAUAUAUGGAAGAACACCAGUGGCGAAGGCGGCUCUCUGGUCUGCAACUGACGCUGAGGCUCGAAAGCAUGGGUAGCGGACAGGAUUAGAUACCCUGGUAGUCCAUGCCGUAAACGAUGAGUGCUAAGUGUUGGGAGGUUUCCGCCUCUCAGUGCUGCAGCUAACGCAUUAAGCACUCCGCCUGGGGAGUACGACCGCAAGGUUG
rnacentral:rRNA from 1 species